rnacentral:rRNA from 1 species
AGAAUCAACGCUGGCGGCGUGCCUAACACAUGCAAGUCGAACGAGAAAGUGGAGCAAUCCAUGAGUAAAGUGGCGCACGGGUGAGUAACACGUGACUAACCUACCCUUGAGUGGGGGAUAACCUAGAGAAAUCUGGGCUAAUACCGCAUAAUACCUUCGGGUCAAAGGAGCAAUUCGCUUUAGGAGGGGGUCGCGGCCGAUUAGUUAGUUGGCGGGGUAAUGGCCCACCAAGACUGUGAUCGGUAUCCGGCCUGAGAGGGCGCACGGACACACUGGAACUGAAACACGGUCCAGACUCCUACGGGAGGCAGCAGUGGGAAUUUGCGCAAUGGGGGAAACCCUGACGCAGCAACGCCGCGUGGAGGAUGAAGCCCCUUGGGGCGUAAACUCCUUUCGAUCGGGAAGAUAAUGACGGUACCGAGAGAAGAAGCCCCGGCUAACGUUCGUGCCAGCAGCCGC